rnacentral:sRNA from 1 species
UCGUCUCCCUAGUCCUCGUCUGCGCAGUAUAUUACCGACCCAUCAACCCCCCAAGGGGGAGGAUCCACCCCUUGUUAUUAAAACCUUUUUUGUUUUUCUGAGCCCCUUAGGACCCUCCCUCUUGCUGGCUGCCGCUCGCUUUGGACCACAAACUCUGUUUACUUAUGUCAACUGAUCACUUGUCUCCGGUCUCGAAAAACUUUCAACAGCAGAUCUCCUGUUUCUGGAUGUGCAUAAUAACGCAAGUAAUUGAAUCUUUGAACGUGAAUUGCACAAUUUGGUGUUUCAUCGAAUCUUUGAACGAACAUUGCGCCCCUUGCCUUUCGCCGGGGCUUGCCUGGGCGAGCCCCAGUGCAACCCUCAAAAUCUGUUUGGGAUUGGACCGCAUCCGUUCUGAUCGAUCUUAAAAUCUCCGGCGGGGCCCUCGGGCUCUAAGCGUAGUAAUACUCCUCGGUCCCCGGAUUCGGUGGGGACUUGUCAGCAACCCCCAACUUUCUAAGUUUGAACUCCCAUCAGGUAGGGAUACCCGCUGAACUUAAGCAUAUCAAUAAGCGGAGGAAUACAUCAUAGACGUUUCUGCUGAGCAAGCACAGAUUUUUAAACUGUCGAAGCACGGUGGCCAGUGGACUCCCUCUCAACUGAAACAGAUCGAUUGGCGCAAGAAAGUUUCGGUGGUUUGUUCGAUUGAAGCAGUUUGAACCCGUCUUUACACCUAGUUCGCAUUCUUCCUGAAUAUUCCGAGGUGCUUCAUGCUCAUUAAUCAGUAUCAUUAAUACCGCGAAGUGAACCCGAGGAAACUCGACCAACUUAAUCCUAUGAAGAAACGUAGGAA